rnacentral:rRNA from 1 species
UACGUAGGGUGCAAGCGUUAAUCGGAAUUACUGGGCGUAAAGCGUGCGCAGGCGGUUUUGUAAGUCUGUCGUGAAAGCCCCGGGCUCAACCUGGGAAUUGCGAUGGAGACUGCAAGGCUAGAGUGUGUCAGAGGGGGGUAGAAUUCCACGUGUAGCAGUGAAAUGCGUAGAUAUGUGGAGGAACACCGAUGGCGAAGGCAGCCCCCUGGGAUAACACUGACGCCCAUGCACGAAAGCGUGGGGAGCAAACAGG